CCGGUCUGUCCGGUAACAGCAAGGAGGAGAAGGGGGAGGGACCGAGAGAGGGAGAGAGAGAGGAUGAGAGAGAUGGAUGAUGUGAUGGAUGUUGUUGCAGUACCUCUUUGCCCACACCAGGAGCGCUGCAGACGCAGAGGACUCAUCUGUGCGUGUUUUAUCGUCCCUCAGAGCCUGAUUUCCAUGCUCACCUCUGGGACGGCGUCUGAGUUGAACUCGCCGAGUAUCUUGUGCUGUUUGAACGUGUCAACAUUUCGGAGCUCAAGUGUGCAGACGUUGGUUCUGUGAUGAAAGUCAGACAGAAUGUCGAAGCCGCCUCCAUCACGCUGAGGGGUGCCAGCCGUCCAGCUCCACCACCAUCGACUUCACUGUGUGGUCUGAUCACCAAAAGCUUCUUCAUCAUAUGCACCAUCAAAUAAAUCACUUAAUGUAUCUUUA